AUGAACGCUGGCGGCGUGCCUAAUACCUGCAAGUCGAGCGCACGGACGAGAAGCUUGCUUCUCUGAUGUUAGCGGCGGACGGGUGAGUAACACGUGGAUAACCUACCUAUAAGACUGGGAUAACUUCGGGAAACCGGAGCUAAUACCGGAUGAUAUUUUGAACCGCAUGGUUCAAAAGUGAAAGACGGUCUUGCUGUCACUUAUAGAUGGAUCCGCGCUGCAUUAGCUAGUUGGUAAGGUAACGGCUUACCAAGGCAACGAUGCAUAGCCGACCUGAGAGGGUGAUCGGCCACACUGGAACUGAGACACGGUCCAGACUCCUACGGGAGGCAGCAGUAGGGAAUCUUCCGCAAUGGGCGAAAGCCUGACGGAGCAACGCCGAGUGAGUGAUGAAGGUCUUCGGAUCGUAAAACUCUGUUAUUAGGGAAGAACAUAUGUGUAAGUAACUGUGCACAUCUUGACGGUACCUAAUCAGAAAGCCACGGCUAACUACGUG
rnacentral:rRNA from 1 species